rnacentral:lncRNA from 1 species
UUUAUUAUGUGAUCAUGUUUGAUUGACUAACUUUGAUGUGGCUUACAUGUUUUGUUUGAAGUUUCUAUUUGGCUAUGUUUGGUUUAAGAUGUUUAGGCAAUAAUUGAAUUCCUUUCUUGUGUGCUUUGAAUUUCGAGGACGAAAUUCUUUUAAGGGGGGUGGAGUUGUAACGCCCUCUUUGAAUUAUUUGAUUUAUUUAAUUAUUUAAUUGAGUCUAAAAUUUAUUAAGAAGAGUUUAAAAUAUAUUUAUUUGAUUAUGUGAUUUAUUAAGUG